GUGCUCGCUUCGGCAGCACAUAUACAAAAUUGGAACGAUACAGAGAAGAUUAGCAUGGCCCCUGCACAAGGAUGACACGCAAAUUCGUGAAGUGUUCCAUAAUUUU
rnacentral:snRNA from 1 species